GACGAACGCUGGCGGCGUGCUUAAUACAUGCAAGUAGAACGCUGAGGCGAGGAGCUUACUCUUCUUGGAUGAGUUGCGAACGGGUGAGUAACGCGUAGGUAACCUGCCUUUUAGCGUGGGAUAACUAUUGGAAACGAUAGCUAAUACCGCAUAACAAUGGAUGACACAUGUCAUUUAUUUGAAAGGGGCUAUUGCUCUACUACAAGAUUGACUUGCGUUGUCAUUGCUAGUAGGUGAGGUAAUGGCCCUCCUAGGCGACGGAUCAGAGCCGACCUGGGAGGGGGGACCGCCAAACUGGGACUGGGAACAGGCCCAGACUCCCUCGGGAGGCAGCAGUAGGGAAACUUCGGGAAUGGGGGGAAAGCUGACCGGGCAACGCCGCGUGAGUGGAGAAGGGUUUCGGAUCGUAAAGAUCUGGUGUAAGUGAAGGACGGAUGUUGGAGGGAAAAGUGCACGUUGUGACGGUAGCUAACCAGAAAGGGACGGCUAACUACGUG
rnacentral:rRNA from 1 species